rnacentral:lncRNA from 1 species
GGGAAAAAUUGAGCAAGACUGAGUACAACCACCGUACUCAACAAGACACACCCACAAGUGCAGAAUAAAUGCAAGGGCGUACAAGGGGGGUUAUAGUAUAAAUGGUUAGGUUUUGCAGUAAACAGCAUUAAAAGACACUUAGUUGCUCAAAGCUAUUUUGUAAAUACGAUCCUAGAGCUAUACAAGAUUAUUAAUCAAGGCCGUGAACCCACACGAACCUGCCUUAACCCAAGGCCUACGAUGAUUCAGACCGAGCUGGCAACCCGACCCUGGGUCCAAGCUCGUCCCAAGCCAACCCAGGCCAACCAUUCCACAUUUUAGUUGUUAAGCAGGUUUUAAGAAUUAAAAACACUAACUUGGGUACAUUGCUCGGCUUGCCCAUAACCGAGGGCGCGGCUAUUCGAAUAGGUUAUACUCUGAUCAGAGGUGUACAUCUUUACCCACAAGACACAUCUUCCUCACGUGUAACCUCGUGCCACAUACCACCACGGUAUACGGACGGAAGACGUGACAUAGUUUCCAACCCAUCCUAGCCGUAGACAAGAGUACCGACCCAACCCCACCUACGGCCGGAACCCCCGGGACAGGUAGGCAGGACUGAGCCCCUAGCAGUAGGACACCGGCCCUGUGCCAUGACAUCUCGACUACCGGGCCGCAGCUCGUGUAGCCUUCAUUUGUCCUAGAGAUGUCCAUCGACCCCCGACUUCGUCCAUCUCCAUCCGUGUACUUUUGUUUAUAACCAGACUGAGCCACAAACUAAGCCUUACCCACUAGAUAUGUGGAAGUACGGUAGUGCUUUGCAACAGAGGCCCGAAGACCGGUCCUUAUAUGGCCGAGGUGCUACUAUCAAAACCAUGCACCCCGAGCCCAGCCUAAAACCAUUUUGAGGAUUUUGAAUAGAGGGGGAGGUGUGAACCCAAUUCCACAAUAAUCCAACCAUUCCGUACUUGUAAAACCACCUAAUGUUACCUAAUUAAGCGGCGAAGCAUCUACCUAAAUUCAUACUAGUGGUACCAUGAGUAGAGUGUCCACUAGUUGGGGUUUUGUUUAUUCUAGGAUGAACAAGGUAAUAAUAACAAUAACAAUAAUAAGGUCAUAACAAAAGUAAAUAGGCAAGGCUAGAUAAAACAGUGAUAACGCGGGAAUUUAAAUAAAGCGAUAAUGCAAUAAUUUAAAUCAAAAUAAUUUUAUAAACUGGGAUUCAAUAUGUUCAAGGAUGAUGUGACUUACCUUGCUCGCUUUCCCAAACGUCGGCUUCAACCUCCACGAAGAGCGGAUCUUCCGAAGCUGCAGCGUCUACACGACCAACGGAAAAGAAAAGGGUUUUCCUCUAAUAAACUCCAUAUAACCAGCAAGAACAAAGUACAAAAAUGGGUUCUUGACUUCUUAAGGAAAAAUUAGAGACUUGAACGGUCCAAUUCUGAGUUCAAAUGGCCAAGUUAUGGCCAUUUGAAGUUUAUAUGCUCUUUAAAUGAAUAUUUACGAAUUUCUUCAUUUAAAUUUUAAUUUAAAAAGGGUUUAUUGCGUCAGCCGAGGGGGAGGGGCGCGCAGACCGGGUCCACGGGAGUGGGGCCCACGCGGCAGCCUCACGGUCCACGGUGGACCGGGUGCACCCGGGCUCACACCGGCCGGCGCCGUGGGCCUAACACGUCAGCCGCACCUGAGGGCGCGGGCGGCUGACGGCCGGGCCCCACGCGGCAGCCACUCGGCGCGCCCGAGGGCGGCCACGCCAGCGCGGUCGGCGGGAGGCGGCGCGCCCGCACCCCGAUGGUUGCUGCCGGCGACCACCUGCGCGGCGGGGCGGUGGCCGAGAGAGGGGAGGGAAGGGGGAAAGGAGGCGACGGUCCACGGCUCACCCCGGGGCGACGGCGGCGACGGAGGAGGCGGCCGGAGUGGAGGGAGGCGGCGGCGCGGCUCGGGUCGACGGGGUCGACGGCGUUCCGGCGGUCGGCGACCGAAACGGAGAGGUGGAUGAGGUCGGCGAGGAUGCGGCGAACCCGAAGGAGGCGGCGCCGAGGUGGGAGGCGGUCCGGGGCGACGACGGCGGCGGACCGGAGCUCGGCGGCGACGGCGGAGAGAGAGAGCGACGUCGCGAGCUCGAAUCCGGCAAGGAGGAAGGGCGGCGAGAGGCGGAAACGGACGGAUUAGGUGCGGGGAGGGUUUAAAUAGGGUUGGAAGGGGGAGAGAGCGGUCGGUGGGGAAGCAAACCGGCGCGGGAGGUCCGGCCGCCAUCAAUGGCGCCGGCGAGAUUUGGGGGGCAAAUCCGCCCGUUUGAACGCGAGAGAGAGAGGGAAAAAUGGGGGGAAAGGGAGAGGGGAUCACGGGGAGUGAUUUCCCCCACUUUAUUGCACGCGGGGACGGCGGGAUGCGGCGGAUUUGGCGGCGGCGGCGGCGCUUGGCGCAGGCGGAGCGGCGGGAGGACGGGGAUGACGGGUGGGCCCCACCCGUCAGCGAGGGUGGCGGGCGGGCCCGCCCGUCAGCGGCGCGCGCGCGGGGAGAGGCCGAGUGGGCCGCGGAGAGAGGAGAGAGAGGGGGAGGGAGAUGGGCCGAAUUCGGACCAUUAGAGAGAAGGAGGGAUUUUAGGGUUUUUCUUUUUAUAAAACCUUUUUAACUUUGUUUAUUUCUUAAGAAUUAUUAUUUGUGCUCUAAAAAUUCCACUAAAAUUUAUUUACAUAUUUUAGGCUCUUUAGGAAAUAUACAAAAAUCCUCUAAGCCUUGUUUGACUUUUAACUUUGCACAUUUUAAUUGUUGGAGGCUUUCACAUGGUUUUUAAUUAUUCUAGGCAUAAUUUAGAGGAUGUAUUUUAGAGUCAUUUUGGGACUGUGCCACCUUUAGAUUAUCCCGAAUGGUUCUGACUUUAGCUUCAGCUUCUCUCAGGAUAUCAGUCCCGAACACUUGGCUUUCCCCAACUUGGUCCCACAAUAGCGAUGUCCGGCAUUUGCGUCCAUACAACGCUUCAUAGGGUGCCAUUUAUAUGCUGGCUUGGUAGCUGUUAUUGUAGGAGAACUCGGCAUAGGGGAGGCUCUUAACCCAGGUCUUCCUGAAAUCUAGGACACAUGCGCGAAGCAUAUCUUCUAGGACCUGAUUUAGACGCUCGGUCUAUCCAUCUGUCUGCGGGUGCUACGCGGUGCUGAAAUUUAAUCGGGUACCCAGCUCUUCUUGGAGCUUCUUCCAAAAGUGAGAGGUGAAUUGGCUUCCCCUAUCAGAUACAAUUUUCUUAGGAACGCCAUGGAGACUCACGAUCCUAGCGAAGUAGAGCUCGGCUAGUUUGUUCCCUCCAUAGGUGGUCUUCACAGGAAUAAACCGAGCUACCUUGGUUAGUCGGUCCACAACUACCCAUAUAUAAUCAUAUCCGCCUUGGGUUUUUGGAAGUCCGGUGAUGAAAUCCAUCCCAAUUUCAUCCCAUUUCUAUUCUGGUACUUGGAGAGGUUGGAGAAGUCCGGUCGGUCGUUGGUGCUCUGCCUUGACACGCUGGCACACAUCACAAAGGGCCACGAACUCUGUAAUUUCCCGCUUCAUACUAACCCACCAGUAUUUCCCUUUCAAGUCUAAGUACAUCUUCGUACUGCCAGGGUGAAUGGAAUAAGGACUUUCGUGAGCUUCCUGAAGUAUCUGCUGUUUAAGUUCUCUGUCGUUUGGAACGCAUAUCCGAUUUCGGUUCCAUAGGGUUCCGUGUUCAUCCUCUGUGAAACCAGCGGCUUUACCCUAUUUCAUAUUCUUGAGGAGUUCACGCAUAUCCGGAUCAUUCUUCUGAGCCUCGCGGAUUUGAUCGAGCAAGGUAGGCUUGGCUUCCAGCGUAGCCAAGAAUCCAUGACCAACUAUGCUUAGGUUCAGGGCUUCCAUCUGUUGAUUAAGUUCGGGUGGAAUGCCACGGACUUCAAGAGUGUUGCAAUGGCUUUUUCGACUUAGAGCGUCGGCGACCACGUUGGCCUUACCAGGAUAAUAGUGAAUUCCCACAUCAUAAUACUUGAUGAGCUCUAACCAUCUUCUCUGCCGAAGAUUCAGAUCCGACUGAGUGAAGAUGUAUUUCAAACUCUUAUGAUCAGUAUAUAUUUCGCAGCGAUUCCCGAUGAGAUAAUGCCGCCAGAUUUUUAGAGCAUGAACCACAGCGGCCAACUCCAAAUCAUGGGUAGGGUACUUGCCUUCAUGGGGCCGUAGCUGGCGUGAGGCAUAGGCUACCACAUGACCUUCCUGCAUGAGCACGCACCCUAGUCCUUGGCGCGAAGCGUCACAGUACACCAUGAAGUCCUUGCGAGUAUCCGGUAAUCAUCGAUCCGGGGAAGAGGGUACUUGUUUUUGAUAGUAACUUCAUUGAGAGCUCUGUAGUCAACGCACCUCCUCUUUGUCUUGUCUUUCUUCUUCACAAAAAUCACAGGAGCACCCCAGGGGGAAGUACUCGGCCGUAUAUACCCCUUUUCUUUCAACUCUUCCAACUGUUUCUUAACUUCGGCCAGUUCAUUGCUGCCAUACGGUAGGGUCGCUUGUACAGGGGAGUGGUUCCUGGAGCAAGAUCUAUCCGGAACUCAACUCUCGCUUCGGCGGCAUACCGGGUAGUUCUUCCGGAAACACGUCUCCAAACUCCCUGACGAUGGGGAUUUCCGACAGUCUUAUCUGAUGAAGUUCUGAACUGCCAACAGAGGUUGGGGGUGCAAAGAAAACAACCGGUUGUUCCGGCCCUCGGUACAGAGUGACAGUGCGUCUUGCACAAUCCACUACUCCUUGGAAUUGAGCCAACCAAUUCAUCCCAAGGAUCACAUCCAAGUUCUUGGUGUCUAGAAGAAUCAGAUCCGAGGGAAAAGGAAUUCCCUGAAUUUCUAUAGGAACGGCAGGGCUAUAAUACUUUGCUGUCAUAACCCCUCCAGGGGUGGUGAUGAGCAGAGGGUUCCUAAGCCUUUCUACCCCCAACCGAUUUCUCCCCACGAAUGGCACAGAUAUAAACGAGUGGGAUGCUCCAGAGUCGAACAGAAUGGUAGCAGGGAUGGAAUGAAUGAGGAACGUACCAACGAUGACGUCUGGAGUUGUCAGCACGUCCUCGGCCGUCACGUGGUUCACACGACCCCAAAUGACAUCCUUACCACUGUUGUUGGAGCGGGGAGGCGCUUGGCCUUGCUGGCGCCUCGGCUUUGGGCAUUUAUCUGCAAAGUGCCCGGGCUCGAAGCAGUUGAAGCACAGACGCUGCUGACCUUGAGCGUCCCUGCGGCCUUGACCAGGCUGCACAGCUGGCGUAGGGGGACGGGGCGCACGAGUCUCUUGCUGACUCUGCUGUUGCUGCGGCUGUGAGACGCGCACCACGAAUUGAGGUCGGAGCGCGGAGCGAGGUUGCUGCUGCGAGGAGGAUCCCCCUGGAUAGGGAUUGGUGUAGCGGACACUUUGGUUAGCCCCCUGUUGGUUGCGGAAAUUCGCCAAGCGACGCUUGUGCGACUCCAGUUUCUUGUGCUUGGCUUCCAAGCGGAUGCUCUUGUCAACCAAACGCUGGAAAUCCGGAUAGUCCCCGGAGACCAGACGCACGGACAGCUCAGGGUCCAUUCCUGCCAAGAACUUCUCUUGCUUCUGCUCAUCUUCACGAACAUCCUCCGGGGCGUACCAGGCCAGGUUGUUAAACUCAUGCAAGUACUCCAUCAUGGAGCGGUUGCCUUGCUUCAACUCUCGGAAUUCCCUUUUCUUAAGGGCCAUGAUUCCGGCGGGCACAUGGGUUCUCCGGAAAGCGGCGGUGAAGCGGGCCCAAGUAAUAGGUUGCCCCUCUGGCUGCGUAGCCUGGAAAUGGUCCCACCAUAGAGAUGCGGGCCCCUGCAGUUGGUGGGCGGCGAAGAUGACUUUCUCCUCAUCGCUGCACUGCACGGUGUCUAACUUUUUCCCCACGGCAUGCAACCAAUCCAACGCAUCCACGGUGUUAUUGGAGCUAGAGAAGGUAGGCGGAUGGAUGCGGAGGAACUCGGCGAGUUUAGAGUGUUGUGGGGGUGGUGGUGGAGCAUUAUGUUGUGGCGGGUUUUGGAUGUGGUGGAGGAAAGCAGCCAUCAUGUUGGCCUGCUGGGCGAGGAUUUGGGUGAGGAUGGCGUUGGUGUCUGGUGGUGGUGGUGGAGGCGGAGGAGGAGGUGGAGGUGGGCUGCCAUGGUUGUUGUGGUUGCUGCCUUCGGGGUGACUGCCUUCACCGGUAGCAGCACUUCUCCUGGUUGUCACCAUCUGAAAACCCCACACAGAACCAGCAAACAGAGAGAGCUGACAACUAAAACUAACCACUCACGACUACCAUAAUUCUUGAAUUUAUUACUGCUAUUAAAUUGGUUCAUUAAAGUUCAAGUUUCUUAAGCAAAUAAAAUAAAGACAGGCUCCGACACAGUUAUACCACACACCGGCAUAACCAUGCCCCAUACGACUCUAGCAGAAAAACAAACGAGAAGAACACACACGCAAGCCUACUAACUGCUCGUCUACUGCUGCGACGGGCCAGGACGGAAGGUGAGCAGCAGCGCAUCCUCCGUGCUGCCAACGCCGGAGGCUCCAUCCUCCUGAGGAACCACGGGCGCGGGCUCGGCACGAGGGGUCUCGACGAAGCAGGUCCACGCCAGGGACUGACGAACAAGCUCAGGCCUGGAGGUACUCUUGCGGGCGGUGAUCUUCAGGCUGUGGCAGAUGCGGCGACGCUUGGGGCGACAGACCUCUCCCUGGGCGAUCUUAAGCUUACGUAGCUGCGCCUCCACUGCGUCUAGGUCCUUCUUCAGCUGCAGAUUCUCCUGACGCAGCUCCAGGAUCUUCAUGCUGUUCUCGACCAACCCGCGACGCACCAUCUGAUGGAAGUCGAUACGGGCCGCGUCGUACGCCUCCACCAUGCGCGCCAGGUGCAUGAUGGUAGCGUCAUCCUCCGAGCUAGCAUCCCGGAAGGUGGCGUAGUCGCGGGCUCCUCCACGACGAGGGUGGUAGCGGUAGGGCGAGUGCUGCAACUCGUCCGGGUAGCGCUGGUGAAGAGUGCCGAUGGCGAGGAGUGCAGCGUUCUGGCAAGCGGCGGAGAAGGAAUCUCCACCCGCGGUGACCGCCAACGACGUCCUCUCAGGUGAGCCAGUGAGGAUCACUGCAAUAACCUCCCAAGCAGCGUGGGGCUCUGCAUCGUCACCCUCCUGCUCCGGGAGCUGCUUGCCCUGGUAAUCCACUCCAUGCGGAUACCCCAGGACAACGCACAUGCCCCGCAGCUCCAAAACGAAGCCAGUCAGGUCCAGACCACGACGGUUGAUGCUGCCGGCCAUCUACAAACAAAAACAAAAGAGAAAAGCAACAUUUUAAAGGUCAGAUUUUGACGAUAAAUGAAGCAGCAGGACAGAGAGAGACUAGAGGAUUUUCACAAAUAAGAAAGGAUUUUUAUUUUGAAAAUAUUGCUAAGGCUUGGGAUCUACGGCUCGUCCUAGGGUCAGGGGGGGCUCUGAUACCAACUUGUCACGACCGGAAAUAACCCAACGGGCGUUCCUUACGUGCGUGCAUUAUUCCUUGUCCCAGGAGGCAAGGUACACCAAAAGUUGAUACAGUUCAGAGUUUAACAAGCGGAAGCGUAAAUAGUUAAUUUAUUACAUGGGCGGCGAAGGCCCAGCACACACAAAGACAAACGGGAAACAGCGGAAGACUAGGGCGACGACCACAGG